UAAAUAACUUUUAAUGUAUUUUUAAUGCCUUUGCAAGGAAAUUGAGGUAAUUUUAUAUUUUCAGUUUUAGAAUUUUCUCCCACGGAUCUCCGAGCUGGAUCGUAUAGUGUAUAGUUUUCAUGUACAAGUCUUCAUGUCCUUGAAUACUCUUUGCAAACAUUAGUUUUUACUGAUUAUGUAAUAUUCUUUCAUUCAGAUAAAACCUAAUUAAUUUACCUAUCCCCCUUUUGCUGGACAUUUUGGUCUUUUCUCAUUUUUUGCUGUGAUGCAUUUUGCUGGUAUGAACAGAACUUUGCAAAACCCUUCAUAUGCAAUAUGUCCUUUAAUCUUCCCUAUAAACCUGAGGGGGGGGCGCUAUAGAGAUUCUCUUUUUACAGGUUAGGAAACUGAGGGUCUGAGAGGAGUUCAGCGGUUUGUCAAAGGUCACUGUCUUAGUUCAGGUUCCCCAGAAACACGUCCUGAGUUAAGGACCCAAGUACAAGGGAUUUACUUAAGAAGAGAUCUCAAGGAAAAAGUAGGGAAAUGGGAAAUGAGACGAGGAAGGUGGGCAGCCAAUGUAAUGUGCGUUUUCAAGCAAGUUGCUAGGGUGGAUAACCAGAGCUUAAUCCUGCUGGGGAAACCCAGGAGCCAGUGUAGACUCAUGUCUCAGAAUCAUCUGACACGAGGCGUGAGGGAGCUGGGUAUUUUUCACCAACUCCAAUCCAUCUUGGCUGAGGCUGCUCCCAAGGAGCCCGAAUUCUCUGUCGCUUCUAGACUGUUGUGGGGGAGGGGGCAAGGCAGGCUCUGGCGGUUACAUAAAUGCAGCUGCUGGCAGCCAGAAGGUGGGCAGGGUUCCCUGCAGUGGUGAGGGCAUGGGGAUAAGGUUGGCACUGCCCAGGGCCGCUGAGGUCAGUCACACAGCUACAGACUGUCAGAACCAGGAUUUGAAUGCAGAUGUGCCUAACUCCGGAGCCCGUACCUUUAAUGACCCGGCUUUGCAAAGAAAUGAAACCUCCCUGUGACCUUGGGCAGUCACCUCAUCUCUCUGAGCUCCAGGAUGGGGAUGCUGCUAUCUGCCAUAACUGACUCAGAGCAGUGUCAUGAGAUGACAGCAUGGACACGUCAGCACUCUGAUCAUCAGCUAGGCCAUCAUUGGUCCAGCAUUACUGACCAUUCCCAUCAGUCAGGGAGGAAUCUCAUCAGGCAGCCAGUCAGUGCUUUCCUGAUGAUAGCUGAUUAAAAGAAAUUAAUAGGAGAUGGGCCGGUUCCCUGAGUUUAUUAGAGGAAUAGUUUUCUAGAUUAAUUGCAUAGCAUGCAAUGUACACAUGGCUCAUUGAAAUAAAGUCCUUGAGGAACUUUGGAACAUUCCAUUUUUCUGGCAAGAGGGAGACAAAUACACAAGUGCUCAUCCCUAUGCACUGACAGUCUCCAGGUCUGGAUUCUCCCAAGAGGGAGUUUAAUUGUUCCAUAAGCUUCAAACUCAAGGGCUUCUCAAUGCUAAGCUCCUGACGAGCUACAUUAAAGGAAAAAUGACAAUGAUGCCAGUUGACAUAUUUAUUGAAUAUGGGGAUCCCGAAGAAGUCGAUGCAGGCUGCUCAUGCCAAUGAGGUUACAGAUGGGAAGUCAGUGUUGCUGCAGCCCUCCUACCUGACUGAAGUUCACACUCAAGGUAAGGUCAAGACAAGCUGGAGAUCUGAACCCUGGUCUGGCUGACUUCAAAAUGCAUGUUUAUUCUUUAAGAUCACCUAUGUGUUCUCUCCUGACAAAGAUGUUUUACAGCUUUACCGACCACUAGAAAGCAAGUGGGAGUUUGUGCACAGAAUCAUUCCUAUGUGGCAGCUACCAAUACCAGGAUUGAUUUCUACGCCCUGCCCCCACCCUAGUGCAGGUCUGUAUAAGCAUUUUUCUAGACUUUUUUUGGUAGUACAGAACAUAAGUUAAUAUUUCAAAGGUUUGGGUUUGUAAAAUUAUUGUGUUUACUCCUAGGGACUAAAGCUGUAACUCAAGUAACUUUCACCAGGUGAAUGAUGAUGUCGACAUCUCCAACAUCUUCUCCUCCAAAUGCCAGGAGACUUACAUAUGUUCUUAAUCCUCCCCACGACCCUGAGUGGAGGGUACUACAAUCCCCAUUUUGUGGCUGAGGAGUUGGAGACAGAAGGAGUGACAUGCCCAGAGCUACAUCACUAGUCCAUUUAUUGGGAUGUCACAAAUACAGCGGACCAGUGUGACCUUCCAUGGACUGUCCAAACAAUCAAGGCCCCUCCAGACUGUGUUGUAACAGAGAACGGAAGCGUUAAUGCAGCUCUGAGGCAAGACUGAAUAUGUACUGCUGUCCUAAGGGAAUGCACUGCCUUCUGAUUCUUUUCUAUAAUCGAGAUUAAAAGAAUGCAUUUACCAGGUCAGUAGCCCAAACCCAACGCCAGAGGCUGUUUUGAUGUGUUCUAAUAAACAUCGUGUAUAACCACAA